UCGCCGGUGGUGAAGACGAGGGUUACUUCGACUGCUAAUCGGGAGGUCGCAGGUUCGAAUCCUGCCGCGGUGAA
rnacentral:tRNA from 1 species